GUGGGGAAUCUUGCGCAAUGGGCGAAAGCCUGACGCAGCCAUGCCGCGUGGAUGAUGAAGGUCUUAGGAUUGUAAAAUCCUUUCACCGGUGAAGAUAAUGACUGUAGCCGGAGAAGAAGCCCCGGCUAACUUCGUGCCAGCAGCCGGGUAAUACGAAGGGGGCUAGCGUUGCUCGGAUUUACUGGGCGGAAAGGGCGCGUAGGCGGACAUUUAAGUCAGGGGUGAAAUCCCGGGGCUCAACCUCGGAACUGCCUUUGAUACUGGGUGUCUUGAGUGUGAGAGAGGUGAGUGGAACUCCGAGUGUAGAGGUGAAAUUCGUAGAUAUUCGGAAGAACACCAGUGGCGAAGGCGACUCACUGGCUCAUUACUGACGCUGAGGCUCGAAAGCGUGGGGAGCAAACAGGAUUAGAAACCCUGGUAGUCC
rnacentral:rRNA from 1 species